rnacentral:misc_RNA from 1 species
GCGCUGGCAGUUCGUGCCCAGGUGAGCCAAGGCGGCAGCGGGUGCCAGUGCCCUGCAUGGCGUGGUGGGGGAAGGUGCGUCUCGCGAGAGAAGUGAGAGCGUGAGGGCGGCCAUGAGGGACAUCAUCAGCGUCCGGGCUCUGUCGGCCCUCCAGAAGAAGAGGCGCCUGGUGAAGCGCGGCGACGAAAUACUCACGUCGAAGCCCUUCUGCUUCGUGCUCGAAAACUCCGUGAUCGGCCAGUACUGCGAGACGUGCCUGGCCACGGCGAGGAAGGAGCGGCUGCUGUCGCGGUGCAAGGGAUGCUGGCGCGCGUGGUACUGCAGCGACAUCUGCCGCGACCUCGGCGAGACGCAGCACCGCCACGAGUGUCAGCUGUUCCGGGACAGGCCCGACUACAGGCCCAAGGACUUCGCCAGGUUCCUCGCCAGGCUCAUCAGGAAGCUCAAGGAAGGAGGCGAAGAUGUCGUCGAACGAAUUGAUGCUCGGAGAAGCCGGCGCUUCAGAGACCUGAUGAGCCACAGUAAGGAGAUCGAGAAGGACCAGAAGCGGCUUGAUUACCUGGCGGAGAUGAUGCCGGACCUGCAGGUGCUCCUCGGGAAGUCCAAUAUCCCCGAGCGCGAGGAACUCAUUCAGAUCUUCGGGAAGAGCGGCGGUCGGCCUGCAGGUGAUGGUGAACAGCUUCUGCCUGCUGGACCACCACCUGAAGCCCGUGGGGACGAGCCUGUACCUGGCGGCGUCCAUCUUCGACCACUCCUGCGCGCCCAACGCCUUCGUGUCGUUCGUCGGGAGCAAGCUGGUGGUGCGGACGCUGGUGGAGUGGCCGGAGCUCCACCUGGACAUGGUGCACAUCAGCUACCUGGACACCAUGAACUCGCGCGAGCACCGCCGGACCUUCCUGCAGGACAGCUACUACUUCGCCUGCGACUGCCGCCUCUGCCGGGACGAGGAGCACGCGCGCACGGCCUCCUCCAUCAGAUGCCGCUCGAAGGCCUGCGGCACCCCCGUGCAUGUGGACGAGAGCGGCACGGGGUGGGUGGACCCCUGCGGGGCGUGUGGAUUCUGCAAGUUCCCGCGGGGCGUCGCCUACGAGUACAUCGAGGUCGCCGAGUACACGAGGGCGGAGCUGGCGGACCUCGACGAGGAGAAUCCCAGUGUGGCGCGACGUGACGGAGGCGCAGGGGGCCCUCCUGCACCCGCUCAACCUGUGGCGCAGCAAGAGCCUGGAGGCGCUCGUCACCGCCUCCGUCAACAUGCGGCAGUGGAGCGCCGCGCUCGCCCCCGCGCGCGAGAACGAAGCGGCCAUCAGGCACUACUACGGGCCCAAACAUCCCUACGUCGGCCUGUACCUCAUGAAGCUCGCCAAGAUCGAGCUCAACAAUAUGGAGUGGCACCCCGCCCUCGAGCACUUGCAAGAGGCCGAGGAGAUCCUCGAGGCAGGCCUGGGCUCCAACCACCCGCUGGUGUUCGUGGACCUGACGUGGCUGCUG